rnacentral:rRNA from 1 species
CCUACGGGAGGCAGCAGUAGGGAAUAUUGCUCAAUGGGGGAAACCCUGAAGCAGCAACGCCGCGUGGAUGAUGAAGGUUUUCGGAUUGUAAACUCCUUUUGUUAGGGAAGAUAAUGACGGUAUCUAACGAAUAAGCUCCGGCUAACUCCGUGCCAGCAGCCACGGUAAUACGGAGGGUGCACGCGUUACUCGGAAUCACUGGGCGUAAAGAGCACGUAGGCGGGUUAGCAAGUCAGAUGUGAAAUCCUAUGGCUUAACCAGAGAACUGCAUUUGAAACUGGUAUUCUGGAGUAUGGGAGAGGUAGGUAGAAUUCCAGGUGUAGGGGUAAAAUCCGUAGAGAUCAAGAGGAAGACUCAUUGCGAAGGCGACCUGCUAGAACAUAACUGACGCUGAGGUACGAAAGCGUGGGUAUCGAACAGGAUUAGAUACCCCUGUAGUC